CCUACGGGGUGCAGCAGUGGGGAAUAUUGGACAAUGGGCGAAAGCCUGAUCCAGCCAUGCCGCGUGUGUGAAGAAGGCCUUCGGGUUGUAAAGCACUUUCAGUGGGGAAGAAAGCCUUGGGGCUAAUACCCUCGAGGAAGGACAUCACCCACAGAAGAAGCACCGGCUAACUCCGUGCCAGCAGCCGCGGUAAUACGGAGGGUGCGAGCGUUAAUCGGAAUUACUGGGCGUAAAGCGCGCGUAGGCGGUCUGAUAAGCCGGUUGUGAAAGCCCCGGGCUCAACCUGGGAACGGCAUCCGGAACUGUCAGGCUAGAGUGCAGGAGAGGAAGGUAGAAUUCCCGGUGUAGCGGUGAAAUGCGUAGAGAUCGGGAGGAGUACCAGUGGCGAAGGCGGCCUUCUGGACUGACACUGACGCUGAGGUGCGAAAGCGUGGGUAGCAAACAGGAUUAGAUACCCUUGUAGUC
rnacentral:rRNA from 1 species